CGGACGGGUGAGUAACGCGUGGAAAACCUGCCGUAUACUGGGGGAUAACACUUAGAAAUAGGUGCUAAUACCGCAUAAGCGCACAGCUUCGCAUGAAGUGGUGUGAAAAACUCUGGUGGUAUACGAUGGUUCCGCGUCUGAUUAGCUUGUUGGCGGGGUAAUGGCUCACCAAGGCGACGAUCAGUAGCCGGCCUGAGAGGGUGAACGGCCACAUUGGGACUGAGACACGGCCCAAACUCCUACGGAAGGCAGCAG
rnacentral:rRNA from 1 species